rnacentral:rRNA from 1 species
AGUGAACGCUGGCGGUAGGCCUAACACAUGCAAGUCGAACGGCAGCACAGUAAGAGCUUGCUCUUACGGGUGGCGAGUGGCGGACGGGUGAGGAAUACAUCGGAAUCUACUUUUUCGUGGGGGAUAACGUAGGGAAACUUACGCUAAUACCGCAUACGACCUACGGGUGAAAGCAGGGGAUCUUCGGACCUUGCGCGAUUGAAUGAGCCGAUGUCGGAUUAGCUAGUUGGCGGGGUAAAGGCCCACCAAGGCGACGAUCCGUAGCUGGUCUGAGAGGAUGAUCAGCCACACUGGAACUGAGACACGGUCCAGACUCCUACGGGAGGCAGCAGUGGGGAAUAUUGGACAAUGGGCGCAAGCCUGAUCCAGCCAUACCGCGUGGGUGUAGAAGGCCUUCGGGUUGUAAAGCCCUUUUGUUGGGAAAGAAAAGCAGCGGGUUAAUACCCCGCUGUUCUGACGGUACCCAAAGAAUAAGCACCGGCUAACUUCGUG